rnacentral:ribozyme from 1 species
GCGAGAUCGCGUGCGCGAUCGACAUGAAGCACAACCGCCGGGUGGCCAUCAAGAUAUCCUCGAAAGACCGUCGAUUCUUCAAAGGCGGGGAGGACCCCU